GAGUUUGAUCUUGGCUCAGAUUGAACGCUGGCGGCAUGCCUUACACAUGCAAGCCGAACGGCAGCACGGGAGCUUGCUCCUGGUGGCGAGUGGCGAACGGGUGAGUAAUGCAUCGGAACGUAUCCUGGAGUGGGGGAUAACGUAGCGAAAGUUACGCUAAUACCGCAUAUUCUGUGAGCAGGAAAGCGGGGGAACCUUCGGGCCUCGCGCUCUUGGAGCGGCCGAUGUCGGAUUAGCUAGUUGGUGAGGUAAAGGCUCACCAAGGCGACGAUCCGUAGCAGGUCUGAGAGGAUGAUCUGCCACACUGGAACUGAGACACGGUCCAGACUCCUACGGGAGGCAGCAGUGGGAAUUUUGGACAACGGGGGCAACCCUGAUCCAGCCAUGCCGCGUGAGUGAAGAAGGCC
rnacentral:rRNA from 1 species